AACGUAGGACACAAGCGUUAUCCGGAAUUACUGGGCGUAAAGCGCAUGCAGGCGGAUUACCAAGUCAUGUGUGAAAGCUCCCGGCUAAACUGGGAGAGGACGGAUGAGACUGGUAGUCUGGAGGGUGGUAGAGGCGUGUGGAAUUCCGCGUGUAGUGGUGAAAUGCGUAGAGAUGCGGAGGAACACCAGUGGCGAAGGCGGCACGCUGGGCCACACCUGACGCUGAGAUGCGAAAGCAUGGGGAGCGAACGGGAUUAGAAACCCCGGUAGUCCAUGCCGUAAACGAUGUGUACUAGAUGUGCGGAGGUCGAAAGGCCUCUGUGUGUCGAAGCAAACGCGCUAAGUACACCGCCUGGGGAGUACGGUCGCAAGACUAAA
rnacentral:rRNA from 1 species